CCUACGGGGGGCAGCAGUGAGGAAUAUUGGUCAAUGGACGAGAGUCUGAACCAGCCAAGUAGCGUGAAGGAUGACUGCCCUAUGGGUUGUAAACUUCUUUUAUAUGGGAAUAAAACGUUCCAAGUGUGGGAUUUUGUAUGUACCAUAUGAAUAAGGAUCGGCUAACUCCGUGCCAGCAGCCGCGGUAAUACGGAGGAUCCGAGCGUUAUCCGUAUUUAUUGGGUUUAAAGGGAGCGUAGGUGGAUUGUUAAGUCAGUUGUGAAAGUUUGCGGCUCAACCGUAAAAUUGCAGUUGAAACUGGCAGUCUUGAGUACAGUAGAGGUGGGCGGAAUUCGUGGUGUAGCGGUGAAAUGCUGAGAUAUCACGAAGAACUCCGAUUGCGAAGGCAGUUCACUGGACUGCAACUGACACUGAGGCUCGAAAGUGUGGGUAUCAAACAGGAUUAGAUACCCGAGUAGUC
rnacentral:rRNA from 1 species